rnacentral:rRNA from 1 species
UGGGGAAUCUUGCGCAAUGGGCGAAAGCCUGACGCAGCGACGCCGCGUGGGUGAUGAAGGCCUUCGGGUUGUAAAGCCCUGUGGGGAGAGACGAAUAAGUCGGAGCCAACACCUCCGAUGACGACGGUAUCUCCUUAGCAAGCACCGGCUAACUCUGUGCCAGCAGCCGCGGUAAGACAGAGGGUGCAAACGUUGUUCGGAAUUACUGGGCGUAAAGCGUGUGUAGGCGGCCCUGCAAGUCGGAUGUGAAAGCCCCGGGCUCAACCCGGGAAGUGCACCCGAUACUGCUAGGCUUGAGUACCGGAGAGGUUGGUGGAAUCCUCGGUGUAGAGGUGAAAUUCGUAGAUAUCGAGAGGAACACCGGCGGCGAAGGCGGCCAACUGGACGAAUACUGACGCUGAGACACGAAAGCGUGGGGAGCAAACAGGAUUAGAUACCCUGGUAGUCCACGCCGUAAACGAUGGGUGCUAGGUGUCACGGGCUUUGACUCCUGUGGUGCCGUAGCUAACGCAUUAAGCACCCCGCCUGGGAAGUACGGCCGCAAGGCUA